GGAAUUUCUUUUUCUUGAGGGUGCAAUAGUCUAUAGAGUAUUUACUAUUACUUUCUGUUUGGUGGAAUAGUGAAAUAGAAGUCAAUACGUUCUUGCUCAAUCCUGUGUUGCUUUGAAGGUUUCCUGAUUGUCAUGACAUCCUCAGCCUAAGCAAUGUUUAUUACUGUAAUUUUAAUUUCAAAAUGACCGUCGUGUGCCGUUUUUUCAACGCACUGGUCAACUCCACCAUAGCAAAUCACAUGACUUUGACAAUCAGUAAAUACCACCGAAAAAUAUCUUUAUAUUAAGUAAAGAAUUGUCGUAUAAAAAUUAAAUACUCGGGAAAUGGCAAAGUUCACGAAGUCUAGUCUGAUAAAAUAAUUUUUUUAAAAAAAAAAAAAAAAAAGUCCGAGCAAAGGGGGGGCGUACGCCCUCUACGCCCCCCCCUGAAUCCGCCACUGCUGAA
rnacentral:lncRNA from 1 species